rnacentral:rRNA from 1 species
CCUACGGGUGGCAGCAGUGGGGAAUAUUGCGCAAUGGACGAGAGCCUGACGCAGCGAAGCCGCGUGAGGGAUGAAGGUCUUCGGAUCGUAAACCUCUGUCAGCAGGGAAGAAAGAUCUCUGUGCUAAUCAGCAGUGAAUUGACGGUACCUGCAAAGGAAGCACCGGCUAACUCCGUGCCAGCAGCCGCGGUAAUACGGAGGGUGCGAGCGUUAAUCGGAAUUACUGGGCGUAAAGCGCUCGUAGGCGGUAUGUCAAGUCAAGGGUGAAAUCCCCGCGCUCAACGGUGGAACUGCCUUUGAAACUGGCAAACUGGAGUGUGUGAGAGGAUAGUGGAAUUCCAGGUGUAGGAGUGAAAUGCGUAGAUAUCUGGAGGAACAUCAGUGGCGAAGGCGACUAUCUGGCACAUAACUGACGCUGAGGAGCGAAAGCGUGGGUAGCAAACAGGAUUAGAUACCCGUGUAGUC